GACGAACGCUGGCGGCGUGCUUAACACAUGCAAGUCGAACGGUAAGGCCCUUCAGGGUACACGAGUGGCGAACGGGUGAGUAACACGUGGGUGAUCUGCCCUGCACUUCGGGAUAAGCCUGGGAAACUGGGUCUAAUACCGGAUAGGACUCCGGACUGCAUGGUCUGGGGUGGAAAGCUUUUGCGGUGUGAGAUGGGCCCGCGGCCUAUCAGCUUGUUGGUGGGGUGAUGGCCUACCAAGGCGACGACGGGUAGCCGGCCUGAGAGGGUGACCGGCCACACUGGGACUGAGAUACGGCCCAGACUCCUACGGGAGGCAGCAGUGGGGAAUAUUGCACAAUGGGCGCAAGCCUGAUGCAGCGACGCCGCGUGAGGGAUGACGGCCUUCGGGUUGUAAACCUCUUUCAGCAUCGACGAAGCGAAAGUGACGGUAGGUGCAGAAGAAGGACCGGCCAACUACGUGCCAGCCGCCGCUGUAA
rnacentral:rRNA from 1 species